rnacentral:piRNA from 1 species
UCCACACACCAAGCCUUGGAUUGGUCUGGC